rnacentral:rRNA from 1 species
GUGGGGAAUAUUGGGCAAUGGGGGCAACCCUGACCCAGCGACGCCGCGUGAGGGAAGAAGGCCUUAGGGUCGUAAACCUCUGUUGUGUGGGAAGAAGGAAGUGACGGUACCACACGAGGAAGUCCCGGCUAACUACGUGCCAGCAGCCGCGGUAAUACGUAGGGGACGAGCGUUGUCCGGAAUUACUGGGCGUAAAGGGCGCGUAGGCGGUCAUUUAAGUCAGCUGUGAAAUGGUCCGGCUCAACCGGAUCAUGCGGUUGUAACGGGAUGGCUGGAGUGCUGGAGAGGCGAGUGGAAUUCCCAGUGUAGCGGUGAAAUGCGUAGAUAUUGGGAAGAACACCGGUGGCGAAGGCGACUUGCUGGCCAGCAACUGACGCUGAGGCGCGAAAGCCAGGGGAGCAAACGGGAUUAGAUACCCGUGUAGUCC